GCCUUUGUUAAGCCUAAUGACAUUUUAAAACAGCAACCUUAGUAUUGUUUGAAAUGUCAUUUGGCUUAAUAAAAAG
rnacentral:pre_miRNA from 1 species